rnacentral:rRNA from 1 species
GACGAACGCUGGCGGCGUGCUUAACACAUGCAAGUCGAACGAAGAGCGACGGAAGCUUGCUUCUAUCAAUCUUAGUGGCGAACGGGUGAGUAACGCGUAAUCAACCUGCCCUUCAGAGGGGGACAACAGUUGGAAACGACUGCUAAUACCGCAUACGAUCUAACCUCGGCAUCGAGGAUAGAUGAAAGGUGGCCUCUACAUGUAAGCUAUCACUGAAGGAGGGGAUUGCGUCUGAUUAGCUAGUUGGAGGGGUAACGGCCCACCAAGGCGAUGAUCAGUAGCCGGUCUGAGAGGAUGAACGGCAACAUUGGGACUGAGACACGGCCCAGACUCCUACGGGAGGAAGCAGUGGGGAAUCUUCCGCAAUGGACGAAAGUCUGACGGAGCAACGCCGCGUGAGUGAUGACGGCCUUCGGGUUGUAAAGCUCUGUUAAUCGGGACGAAAGGCCUUCUUGCGAAUAGUGAGAAGGAUUGACGGUACCGGAAUAGAAAGCCACGGCUAACUACGUG